ACCGUUCACAUCGCCUUGUUGCGCGUAUUUUUCGCUUCACGAUGAAGAAACAUUACGAACAUACGAAUACGACUAGUGUCUACAGUAUUGUGGUUUUUUUACAGUGCCGAAUACAUUGUUUACAUACAACACGUUCUCCUUGAUUUGUGCUUUGGCGGAACUAUAUCCAAUAUCGGGGAGAAAAAAAUGUAUAUACGUACGAUGUGGUACACACAAAAGUGGACAUUAAAAAAAUGUAUAUAUUACAUCAGCAGCAGGCCAAUUUUCGAUACUGGAGUUGAGUAAGUACAAGAAUUGAUGAGUUUUAAACAAUUAAAAAAGCGAUUUGUUUGGAUGGACACACAGCAAUUACCACUCAAAUUAAAAUGAUGGAAUGUGCUUAUGUUAAUAAUAUAAACAAAAGCACUCAAUAAAAUUUAAUAAACUCAA